AGCUCCGGUGGCAUAAGUGGUUUAGAGUGUCCGCUUUGGAUGCUGGAGGUCGCGGGUUCGAACCCCUGCCAAGUCA